rnacentral:rRNA from 1 species
GCAGCAGUAGGGAAUCUUCCGCAAUGGGCGAAAGCCUGACGGAGCAACGCCGCGUGAGUGAUGAAGGUCUUCGGAUCGUAAAACUCUGUUAUUAGGGAAGAACAUAUGUGUAAGUAACUGUGCACAUCUUGACGGUACCUAAUCAGAAAGCCACGGCUAACUACGUGCCAGCAGCCGCGGUAAUACGUAGGUGGCAAGCGUUAUCCGGAAUUAUUGGGCGUAAAGCGCGCGUAGGCGGUUUUUUAAGUCUGAUGUGAAAGCCCACGGCUCAACCGUGGAGGGUCAUUGGAAACUGG